rnacentral:rRNA from 1 species
CCUGCGUCUGAUUAGUUAGUUGGUGAGGUAACGGCUCACCAAGACUUCGAUCAGUAGCCGGCCUGAGAGGGCGAUCGGCCACACUGGAACUGAGACACGGUCCAGACUCCUACGGGAGGCAGCAGUGGGGAAUCUUGCGCAAUGGGCGAAAGCCUGACGCAGCAACGCCGCGUGGGUGAUGAAGGUCUUCGGAUUGUAAAACCCUGUCGUUAGGGACGAAGGCAUGAAUCCUAAUACGGUUCAUGUUUGACGGUACCUGCAGAAGAAGGAGCGGCCAACUAUGUGCCAGCAGCCGCGGUGAUACAUAGGCUUCAAGCGUUGUCCGGAUUUAUUGGGCGUAAAGAGUUCGUAGGCGGUCGAGUAAGUCGGGUGUGAAAAUUCUGGGCUCAACCCAGAGACGCCACCCGAUACUGCUUAACUUGAGUUCGAUAGGGGAGUGGGGAAUUCCUAGUGUAGCGGUGAAAUGCGCAGAUAUUAGGAGGAACACCGGUGGCGAAGGCGCCACUCUGGAUCGACACUGACGCUGAGGAACGAAAGCAUGGGUAGCAAACAGGAUUAGAUACCCUGGUAGUCCAUGCGGUAAACGGUGGGCACUAGGUGUGGGUUUCUAUUAACGGAAUCCGCGCCGUCGCUAACGCAUUAAGUGCCCCGCCUGGGGAGUACGGUCGCAAGACUAAAACUCAAAUGAAUUGACGGGGACCCGCACAAGCGGUGGAGCAUGUGGUUUAAUUCGAAGAUACGCGCAGAACCUUACCAACCCUUGACAUGUCUGUCGCGAGUUUAGGAAACUAGACUUUUCGGUUCGGCCGGACAGAACACAGGUGCUGCAUGGCUGUCGUCAGCUCGUGUCGUGAGAUGUUGGGUUAAGUCCCGCAACGAGCGCAACCCCUACUUUUAGUUGCCAUCAGGUCAUGCUGGGCACUCUGAAAGAACUGCCAGUGAUAAGCUGGAGGAAGGUGGGGAUGACGUCAAGUCCUCAUGGCCCUUACGGGUUGGGCUACACACGUGCUACAAUGGUAGUGACAAUGAGAUGCAAGGUGGCGACGCUAAGCUAAACUCAAAAAUCUACCUCAGUUCGGAUUGCACUCUGCAACUCGAGUGCAUGAAGCUGGAAUCGCUAGUAAUCGUAGAUCAGCGUGCUACGGUGAAUACGUUCCCGGGUCUUGUACACACCGCCCGUCACACCAUGGAAGUUGGUUCUACCUUAAAGCAGAUUGCUAACCGCAAGGAGGCGUUUGACCAAGGUAUAGUCAGCGACUGGGGUGAAGUCGUAACAAGGUAACCGUA